GAGAGAGAGAGAGAGAGAAAGAGAAAGAAGGGGGAGAGGUGAGCGCAGAAGCAGAGAUUCCAGGAUCUAAAGGGAGGAUAAAGGGUGGCGAGUAGAUCCAUCUCUCGGAUUUUCUUUUCUUUUUUAUUUCUCUUAGUAUUCCUAUUGUUAUCCCUUCACUUUCUUUUUAAGCACAGGGGAGGAGAGAAGACUCGUUUUCUUGUCUUUUCUCUUUUGGAGGAUGGAAAGCAAAAAAAAAAAAAAAAAGAGGAGAGUUAGAGAGGGGGGCGUUUCCCCUCUUUCUCUCUCUCUUUCUCUCUUUUUCUCUGUUUGGUGUGAUUUCCAGAUAUUGCCAACACGCAGCCGUCGACUUGAGUUGCGCGGAGAGGAACUGACAGACUUCCACCAACACUGGGAACCUGGGCGGUUUGAGCAGCUCCUGAAAUCCCCACCCUUCCCCUCCAGCUCUCUCCUGCUGCAAGCCGUCGAGCGGAGGACGAGGGGGAUGGGAAGCAGGAGAGAAGGUGGAGGGGAGUGACCGCUUGCUCCCGUCUCGACCACGGGUAUUCUUGGGUUGAUAAUACAGAUGUCGAUGUUAUUGCUUGAGAAUACGCGUAGCUGAGCGGAAGCCAUCGUCCUCAGAUGUGUUUUCAGCCUGGAUGUGGGCAGCAGCAGCGGUCGUGGUAAUCCUCACCCAAAAGUCCUGCUUGUUUUCCCCUCUUCUUCCUCCCCCUCAGUCCUUCUACCUCUCUGCAGGAAGUAAGCUCCUUCCAAGCGUUCAUCACACACCUUUUUAGCUCUGAUUGUUCAUCCGCUUGACAGAUGCCCUUAUCAGAGAGCAAGAGAGGAGGGAGAAUCCAAUAAGUGCACAUGGUGGCGGUGGGGGGGGAGGAUGGCAGCAAGACAUGACUCUGCACGACAGGACAGAGGGUCCAAGCAGUCACACUAGAUCCUGUGGCUCGUUGCGUAUAAGGUCACAGUCAAAGAGCAAAUCCAAUAUCCAGACAGGCCGGCGGGGGAGACGGGCGGGCAAACGGGCUGGCGGGCAGGUAGGGGCACAGGCGGGAGCACAUUUAGAUAAAUCUCAGUCAACUCUCAGCUGUUUCUCCAGAUUGCCUGGAGGAGGAGCGGACAAAGAGAAACAGGAACAAGGGGACAACGCGUUUGGUAUCUGCAAGGAACAAGUCCAGAGGUAGAUGGUAACCCACAGCUGUAGGUGGAAACCUUGAUGAGGAUCUUCUUUAUUUUAGGGGGGAACUUAACUCCUCUAAUGUGAGAAUAAAGCUUUCACAAAACAAGAAUAAAAUAAAACCAACAAUUUUUUUUUCCUUUAAAUAAUAAUAUUUCCUCUUCCAUGGAACAGGUUAGUAAGACAUUUGACAAAGGGAAUAAGAUGAUGUAGUUUUAAAAUAAGAAAAAAAACAACUUAAAUAUCUUGUUUUGCAUCAUUUCUAAUAAUCUUUAUUUAAGGAAAAACAUACUUAUCCAUUAGCAGAUAAUUUUAUUUACCAGCCUAAAUAAAGUGCAACUACACCUAAUCUAUAAAAGUUUUACUUAUUUUUAUAUAAUCUUUGCAAUAUUCACUAAACAAAAUAAAUGAACCUCAGAUUAGACAUUUAAAUGUAAAUAAAAAUGAAUGAAUCCAUUUUAAAACCCAUACAUGACUUUAUUUAAUCUCCCAGCCACUUAUUACUGUUAAAAUAUUAAAAGAGCUCCACACAUUUGUAGGCUCUCUUGGGUAAAAAUGCGUAAAUCCUUCAAAUAAAACAGAAAAUGCAGCUUUUUCAUUUAUUUAGAGUGGGGAAAAUAUACCAACAUCUAAAAAAUAUGUUUUAAAAAGCUCAUUGGUGGAACAAAAACUGGUGCCUCAGGGAACUUCUUAUUCGUCCUCCACAACUUUCUUUUUCCUGAGGAUUGAAAUAUGACAAAAAAGGCUCAUUUCUUCCAGUAGAUCUUUGAAAUCCAAAACACAUUCUGGUAAAAAGAGGCAGACGUGUUAUUCUCCAUUCUACAGUAAGGAUUAAAAUGUUUAGACCAAUUAGGACGGUGUUAAAGGAUGCUGGAUGAAAACUCAGAACAUGUUAGAGGACCGCUGCUGGCGCCAGCUUGGAUUCAUCAGGUAACGACCAUCAGACGUCAUCACAACAUCUUCAGCUGUUUAAGAUGUGAAAGUUGCUCAAUUCCACCGUUAUUUUAACAGCGUAUUUAAAUUUAACUUUUGACUUUACAUUUUACAAAGGAAGAUGUUUAGUCAGUUAAUUUCAGUUAGGAACAGCCCUUUAUUUAUUUUUUUUCAACUAAGUUUAUAGUGGAUUUAGCCAACUAAAAAUGUACACUGGAGGAACACAUUUUUAGUGCAUCCUCCAUCUUUAAGGUAAUUAUUUGUAACAAUUUGAAAUAGAAGUAUGAAAUAUUCAUAAAGGAGGAAAUACAAUCAAAGUAAAACAGAGACAAAGAUUUGAAUCUGUUCCCUUACAGAAAAAUGCCCUGGAUUUCACACGUGAAAAUCAAAUGUUAAAAUCCAUGUACUACUCAAAUUCACACCUGUACCUUAUGUGAAUCACUUAUAAAACCACAUAUUUAUAUUUCUAUGAUUUGAAAGUUUCACGUUAAAAGCACAUGAUUCAUAUUUUCUGUUCCUUCCUGUUUCUGUUGGUUUCGGUUCCAGUUUAAAAUCCUGAUGCUGACCUUCAGGGCCUUUCACGGUCAGGCUCCUUCCUACAUUACAGACCUGUUGCGUCCUUAUUCCCCCUCUAGGAGGCUGAGGUCUCAGGACCAGAACCUGCUCAUGCUCCCUCGUACUCGUUACAGGACCAGGAGAGAUCGCUUCUUUCAGGCGGUCGCGCCGGCGCUCUGGAACGAUCUCCUGCUUUCCUUGCAUUUACUUGAUUCUGUUGAUGUUUUUAAGAGUGAACUGAAAACCUAAUUGUUUAAGAAAGCAUUUUAAUUCUAGUAGAUUAAGAUUUUUUUUAUGACCAUUUCUUUUGUGACUGUAAAUGUAUUUUUAUUUGUGCUGUAAUUUUGUGAAGCCCUUUGUGGCCUCUAUGUCUGUGAAAGGUGCCACAUAAAUAAACAUUACUCACUUAGUUAUUUACUAUGUUUUCCAAUGCAAUUCCCAUUUAAGGCAUUGUCCUGUAUGUGCUUGUAUAUGUACAUGUGAAAUUCAUGAUUUUUCUGUAAGAGUUAUCAGAGACUGCUUUAUUCAAAUGUUCCUUUUUUGAUGUGUAUUUUAUAAACAUAUUUUAGGGUAAAUACAAAUCUAUGUCAACAAUGUGAAACGUCAUGUUAUCAUGUUCAUAUGUCAUCAUGGUCAGAUGUCUUUUUAUGAACUGUGAUAUUACUGUAGGGUCUGUUUGAUCUAAAUAAAGUAAAUUAAAUGAA